rnacentral:rRNA from 1 species
UAAUUGAAGAGUUUGAUCAUGGCUCAGAUUGAACGCUGGCGGCAGGCCUAACACAUGCAAGUCGAGCGGCAGCGACAACAUUGACCCUUCGGGUGAUUUGUUGGGCGGCGAGCGGCGGACGGGUGAGUAAUGCCUGGGAACAUGCCUUAGUGUGGGGGAUAACCAUUGGAAACGAUGGCUAAUACCGCAUAAUCUCUACGGAGCAAAGCGGGGGACCUUCGGGCCUCGCGCGCUAAGAUUGGCCCAGGUGGGAUUAGCUAGUAGGUGGGGUAACGGCUCACCUAGGCGACGAUCCCUAGCUGGUCUGAGAGGAUGAUCAGCCACACUGGAACUGAGACACGGUCCAGACUCCUACGGGA